GCAAUUUUUUCCCACUAUGCAAUCUAAAUCUCUCCCCUUUCAGUUUAAAACCCUUUCCCUCUAUUCUGUUGCUAUUUUCUUGAGUAAAAUUUUUUUCUCUCUCUUUUAUAAGCCUCUGUGAGAACCAAAAGGCUGCAAUAAGGUCUCCCCAAAAUUUUUCUUCUCCAGCUGAACACCCCUGUCUGUCUCAGCCUGCUGGUGGCAGCUACUGCUCUUCCCAGUGCUCUGUUCCUCUGCUCGUGUCCCCUCCAGGUAUUGGUGUCCAGCUGUCCUGGUGAUGUUCCUGCAGGGAGGAGAUGGCCUGGCUCAUGUUGAGUCAUGGCACUGUUCAUGCCUCUUGCCAUCCCAGUAAGCCUGGGAGAGGGAGCAUCUCCUGGUUAGAGGCAGGACCUCACCAACAGGUAUUCCCAUGGGCAGGGUGAGUUACAGGAGCCCUGUCACAAGGAGGUGCCAGGGCCUGGCUCUCCUGUUGGUGUGGGGGGUCUGGUGUUCCCAGCCUGGAGUGGAGGGAGUGGGCAGGACAUGGACACUGGCCAUGUCCAUGGGUGUGCUGUGCCCUUGUCCCCAGGCAGCUCUGUCUGUCCCUCCUGGGUGAGCCACAUGCUUCCCUCUUGGCCAGACCCAGUUUGCCAGCGGGAUCCUGCCGUUGGAGGAGGAGACACACUAAGCUGGAGAUCUUCCCAGAAAGCAGGGCACAAGCCCUACAGGGUUUGUAGCUCGAGCUGGAGCUGUCAAUCCUUGUGGUUCCUAUCUCUGGGUGUUGCAGAUUGUGCUUCUCCGACCUCAGGUGCCCUCCUGGCUCUGCCUGUUUGGUGAAGAGUGAAGGCUGGGAGGAAGGCUGGUGCCCUGCUGGUGGCUCAGGUGCUGCUCUGCUCACAGGGAUGUUUCUGUCUCUCCUCUGGCUCUGGGGGCCCCCAGGUCCUUACUGAGCACGGCCUGGGAGCUGAGUUACAGUGGCAGUGCUGGGUGACCUUGGUGUUUGCAGUUCUGCCGCCUUUAUUUUGGCAAAAGACAGGUCCUGGCAGCCUUGCUGGCCGUGGGGCACCUUGUGCCUGCAGCAGGAAUGGGAAGGUUGGCAUGCAAAGCCAGGACAAUGGGAUGGUCAAGCGUGAUUACCAGCAGCAUCUCCCUUCCUGUUUUCCAGGAGUCUUUCCAGCUGCUCCCUCAAGUUGGUGCCAGCCUGGCCACGUCCCAGACAUUCCCUGCUGCCCAGGCUCUUGCUGUGGGUUGGGACUGAGUGUCCUGAAGAUGUCUGCUCCAGGAAAGCCCCCAGGGCUGAGCCCCCCGAGCGGGGAGCGCAGCCUCGGCUGUGCCGCUCCUCUGUCGUGGCCUCUGUCCCUGUGCUGGGCAGAGCAGGGAGGGAGGAGCCCCAGGCCUGUUCCUGGCACAUCCCUUGGCACGCAGGAUAACCCUCCCAGGGGCUGGAGCGACGAGCUGCCCCUGCCAAGGCUCUGCCUCCUUGUCCUUGUCUCUCCCAAACUUGCCGUGAAGCAGGACACUCCUCCAUCCAGCCCUGUGCCCUGGCCACGGUGGGUGAGCACAGGGACCGUGACCCCUGGGGGCUGCACAGGCAUGACCCAGCUCCUGCCAGGGAUCAGGCCGGGUCAGGUGUCCAGGUGCAGCAGAUGGGUUGAUGCAAUGUGCCUGUUCCUGUUGGGCAGGGAAUGUUGCUCACCUGCCCGGGGAGGUACACGUGCUCCACGGCUUGGCACCGCCUGCCAAGCCUUAAUCUCCCUUGUUUGACAGCUGGAGUGCUGCUGACGUCAAUGCCAUGGCUCAGGGGGCUUUUGGGGAAGAAUGGGCAAGUCUCCGCACACGUGGGCUUAGCAGGAAAACAUCACUCUGAAACCACAGUGGGAGAGCAGGCAGAGGGAGAAGGAGGAGCUGGAGACAGGACAAGGGGUGCAGUGCCAAGGGACGCCGCUCCUCUGCUGACUCACAGCCCGCUCUGCCUGGCUGGGCAUCAUCACUGAUGCAGGAAAAUGCCACCCUGCGUGUCCAGCUUGCUGGGAAUCGCUGCUGGAUUCCCUUCCCUGCCCAUGCUGAGAGUCUGUGUGUGCCCUGGAAGCACCAGGCCUGCCCUUCUGAGCCCAUGGGGCCAGCUGGGACCACUGCCAUGGGAACCUGGACGUUGUCUGUGCUGCUGGGUGACAGCUGCUCUCCUCUCAUCCUUGUCUCAAGGCCUAGGGAAGAGGUGUGGAUCUGCCCCUCCCUUCACUCUAUUGUCAUUAAAGAAGCUGCUUGUCCCUGUCUGGAUUGGGCCAGCUUUGGACAUUGCUGUCCUGCCUCAAGGGAACAUUUCAGGAUGCUGCUUGGAAGCCAUGCCCAUGUCACUUUUGGCUUUGGUCAACUCAGCUCUGCUGCCCUCCCCAUGAAGGAAAUAGGUCCUGUGAAUAGGCUAUGGGAACAACACCCUGUGUCUCCUAUGGACUGAUCCUGCCUCCAGGAAUCCACAGGUACCCAGGAUGAUCCAAGUGGUACUCAGGGGUCUGGGGAAUGCUGGGCAUCCGUUGUUUCUCCUUGCAGGGGUGGUCCAGGUCCAGCUCCCUUGUAUCUUGCAAAGCCUCACUUAUCCUUGGAGCCUGGAUAAAGCUCUGGAGAGUCUUGGCAUGGAUAUCAUUGCUGCUUCCACUUGUGACCUUAGCAACACAUCCUGAUGGGAAUUGUUCUCCAAGCUGGAAAUCCUGUCUGCUCUGCUGCAGGACUCCUGCUCCCCAAGCAGCUCGAGGUCUUUGGCCAAGGCAGUCAACCCUUCCUGCAGGGAAAUCACUCUUGUCCUGUGGCACAGGGCAGCCACCCCUGGCACACUUUCCCUGGGCUGGGCUGCUCUGCUUUAACAUCCUUAAAAAUAUUCCAUAUUUAAAAAAAAAAAAAAAAAAAAAGGCAGCAACCCAGGGAGUGAGGAGACAAAAGAAAAGGAAGUCAGGAGUUAUCACAAGUAGCUCCCAAGGGAUUUUUUUUCCUGGCUUAGAAAGCAACUUGGUGGCAACUGUGCUGAAGCUCAACCUGGGUCAUACCUGGGAAGUGGAAAAGCCUGAAAACCAUUGCAGGUCCUGAGCUGAAAGCCAGGAGGGUCAAAGAACCCUGUAAAUAAACCACUUCUCAAAUGUAAGUUGUUUUCUUUUGCCCCCCACCCCUGUCAGCACAAAAGAACCUGAGUAACCCUGGAGUAAAUUACUCGACAUCUUGCCUCAGGUUGCUUUGGGUAAUGUUUGCACCACUGGCAUGUGCCUGUGCUGCUUCCCAAGUUCAUAUUUUUGAGGCCUUGGAAACUGAAAGUUGGAUGAUAUCCACCAGGCAAGGGUUUUACCAAAGUGUCUCAGUUUUCAGGUCUCUGGGGAAACAUCAACCAUGGCUUGGUCUAGAGGAGGGGAAGCAGCACAAGUUGUGCCAUGCUCCGGGAAGAGCGGGGCUGGUGCUGAGAACUCAGCCCAGCCUUUCUGCUCAUGGCUUCCUCCAUUCCGGACAGCUCCGGAGCACACGCGGGCAGUGUCCCCUCCUGUGCCAGCACUGCCAGCACUGAUCCCUCCCUGCCACACUUGUCUGUGUCAUGGUAAGGCUCCAGAUGUGGAACACAGAAUCCCAGACUGGUUUAGGUUGGACAGAACCUUAAAUUUCAUCUCAUUUCACCCCCUGCCGUGGGCAUGGACACCUUCCACCAUCCCUGGUUGCUCCAGGCUCUGUCCAACCUGGCCUUGGUCAUUCCAAGGAUGGGGCAGCCACAGCUGCUCUGGGCAGCCUGGAAUAUGUUCAUGGAGAGAUCCCCUUGAAUGAAUUGCAAAGGGCUCUGGGAAAAUUGAACUCCCAAGAAACGGAGGGAAGAGAUGAGGAAGCAUCCCAAGGAGGGAGAAGUCAGGAGGAUUUUCCCAUCCUUUGCUGCCUGGACCACUGAGUGUUGCAGGUCCUUGGUGCUGAGAGUCACAGGGAAAGAGAGGAAGAGCUGUGGGAUAGUAGAGGAGAAAAGUAAUGUACAAAACCAGCAGACUCUUAGAACCCAGGCCUCUCUGUCUUUCUAGUAACUCCAACUUAUCUCAGUGCUCAUCCAUUUCUGCAAACCAGGGGCUGACGUUUCCCUGACCCUUCCCUUCUGAGAAAUGGCCCUUCCUGUUCACUGAGUUCAUCAGACAGAACAUCCUGAUCUGUGGCUGGUUGUGUGGUUUGGGGGGUUUCGGCUUGCAGAGAAUGUUCUGGUAGGAAUAUCUUACUCUCUAAAACCUCUUCAAUGCUAAAUCCAGCAGCUUUCAGAGAAAAAUCAGAAGAUACGGUGAAGCUUUCCCCCCCCUCACUCUACCCACCUCACUGCAGAUUUCCUAAAUCCAUGAAACUGGGUGGAGGAGGCUGUUCCUUACUCUCAAAAAUGCAAAGCUCAGGCUGGUUGUGCCAGACUCUUGGCCAAGCUGGUUUCUGUGAGCAUGAAAGGCCUCAAUGAGAAGCUCUCCCCACCACAUCAGCUGAUAGGAAAACCUGCUUCUGGAAAAGGACUUUCUUCCUGCCUUUUAAAAGCCAACUGCAGGGUGUUGCUGGUGGAGCAGGAAUAUUUUCCAAGGGCUAAAUAAUUAUGUUUAAUUAGUUUUCAUUAAGGUGAUGCUGCCAAUCCACCCUUCUCUUUAGAAACUCAGCUUCUGAAAGGGCUUGGAAACAAUGAAGCAGGGAAAAUAUUGUACCUGUGCCUCACUCAUUUCCAUCUGUCAUGGAAAAGGACCAGCACACUCCCAAACUCCUUGGGAAAAGGGACCGACAGAUUGCACAUUAGAUGUCCAUCCCUCCCUGGUCAUGGGAAGCCAUGGAAUGUCCUGCUGAGGGACACAGGGGUUUCCCCUCUGGCACCUGUGUCUGCACAGCCAAGCUGGCCCAAAGCCAGCUGGGGCAGUGGAUCCUUGGUCCUCACUUGGCAUACGUCUGAGUCACUGGCUUCCAUUCCACAGAACCAUCAUUCCAUCUGGAGCAUUAAACCCUGGAAUCACAGAAUGGUUUGGGUGGGAAGGGACCUGUCCUUUCCCUUCCAUUGUGGAUGUGGAACACAGAAUCCUAGACUGGUUUAGGUUGGACAGAACAUUAAAGCUCCUCUCAUUCCACCCCCUGCCAUGGGCAGGGACACCUUCCACUAUCCCAGGCUGCUCCAAGCCCUGUCCAGCCUGGCCUUGGACACUUCCAGGGAUCCCGGGGCAGCCACAGCUACUUUAGAAACCCACUCCUCUGCUUGAAUUUAUGGUGUUUGACCAAAAAAUGGUUUCCUCAAGUUCUGCCUCUUCUUGGGCUCAUUUCUGCUGUUUUCCAUUGAGCUCGAGUGCAACACAUUCCCAUUCAAUUAAGGAAUUGAAUCUGGGAGCAAAACCUGUUUGGAUCUGCUUUUACCUGAGUGCACACUUGCUUUGGGCUUUUCUCUGCUGAAAUCAUUGAUUUUCUUCCUGAAUCCUUCCCAAGGAGAACCCUUCCUACAAGAGUUUCUUGUACACAUGAAAAGGUGGGAGAAAACAGAACCCACCACCCCGAUGUCUCCACUCCUCCAGCUGUGUUACCCACCCAGCUGCCUCUUUGGUCCUGGUCCAAGUCCCAGCAGUGGCAGGGGACAUUCCCAGUCCAGAGGAAGCCAUACCAGUCAGCAUUCCAGUCAGCCUUUUCAAAAUAAUUGCCAAGGAAGAGCACACACCCUCUGUUUGAAUCCGAGUGUCCUGUUUACCUUUCCUCUUGGACGCUGCAGGAGAAUGUCCCGGUAUCACCUGGCCCAAGAAAAAGGGAAUUAUCCAUGAAGCCUUGAAAAAAUCCCCUGUCCUGGCACUUUUCUGAGUUGAAGAGGUGCCAGCAGCCCAGGUGAGAAUUCCUGGGGUGGGGAUUGCAAAAGAGGCUAAAAAACAUUUGAGACUUGGCAGUGUGUGGUGGGGACGGCUCUGCCCUAAGGAGCUGCAGGUCUGCUUUCCCUCUUUGCACCCCACACCUGCUGGGUUUGCUCUGUGCCACAAGAUUCUGCUUCUGUGAAUUGUGCUGCUGUGUCCAGUGAGUAGAAAGGGACUCUGUGCUGCAGAGGGAAAUGUUGGCCUGGGAACCCACCAGAGACGCCUUGUGCUCCUGGGCAGCAUGGCAGGAGCAGGAGAGGAGGCUGGAUUGUUGUGCAAAGAAUGAUAAAUUGCUUCUCAAGGGACCUCACCAUAUAAACACACUGAGUGUGUUAAAUCAAACCCCAUAUCACACUCCAUGAGGCCUUGUGUCCUCACCAUUCCUGUGUGAUUCCCAGCAAUGCUUCCAACACCAAGCUGGCAGUGAAAGCACAGCAUUCUGCACACUCCAUGUGAUGGGGCUUGGAGCAACCUGGUCUGGUGGAAGACAUUCCUCCUGCCCAUGGCAGGGCUUUGGAAUGAGAUGGUCUUUAAGGUCCCUUCCAACCCAAACCAUCCUGGGAUUCUAUCCAGUGGUUGAUCUGCCUGCAGCAGCCCCAGGGAACUGCAGCAGUCCCAAACUCCCUGUAUGGAGCAUCUCUGGACUGUGCCAAAGGUAGCUGGGACACCCCACGCUCCAGUGAGACCCCAGCCCAGUACUAUGUCCCCAACAAGGUUGUCCCUUCCCCAUGAGAGAGCCCUGCCAUGCCCUGGCGUGCCCUGGGAUGUGUCCACGGGCUCUGGGAGGAGAACCACCCCCGUGGGUGCUGCUGGGAGAUGUGCAGCCCCACUUUGGCACUGGUGCCCUCCUCACCACGAGGGGCACAACCUUCUGCUCUCCUUCUGCCUGGGAAUUUGGGCGCUGAAGGUGAUGUUCCCGAGGCUGGUCCCUCCAGGGGGGAUGUUGGCUGUCACUCAGCGCUCUGUGAGUGGCUCUGCCUCUUAUCUCUGGUGCUGCAGAACAAGGAGUCCCGGGCUGGUGUCCAGCUGGGGAUGCCAGCAGCUCUGGACAGGCUGUUCACAGAGCCAUCCCUCCCGGUUCGGUGCUGCCACGCUCUUGUGAAAUGUCCUGGCUGCAUCAAGGAUCAGGGCUGGCUCUGAGGCUGCAGGAGGCAGGGAAAGGCUGGUUGUCUGGGGAACAAAGACAGCACCAAAUCCUGCUCUUUCAACCCCUCUGUGCCCAUGACCUGGGGGGAGGAUGCCCCGUGUCCUACAUCCAUAGUUAUUUUCCCAAGGAUGCGUCUCUAGACCACGGCAGGGCACUGCUCCAUGAAAACCCAGAAACUUUGUCCAUCUGGAUGGCACCAAGUGACUCAAGGGCCAGAGAGCUGCUGCCUGCACCCACCUCUCUGAUGGGUUCUGUCCACACCAGGCUGUGAUCUUUCCCCUCUAGGUUCCCCUUAGCCCCAGGUUUGCAUCACAUCCUUGACAUCUCUUCUGGGAGUUUUCCUGGCUGACAGGACAAGUUGAUGUUCCUGUCCUUGGGUCUUCCCCAGCAUUUUGGAGGGGCAGCAGCUGCUGUCCAUGCCAGCACCAGCAACCUCUGCAGGAGUUAAUUUUCCUUAAUUUGGGUGAGUGAGGAACCUGCUUCCUGAUACAUGGAUGGACCAGGCAAGAUCUGCACUGCUGUUUGUGGCAGCAGAGGGGAACUGGCUGAGUCUUAAUUCCUCGUGGCAUCUUCCCAUCCCUCUGCUGCUGCUCUGCUUGUGCCCAGGCUGGGUUUGAGCAGACAUCGUUCACCUGAGAGCAAACCUCCUGGUGGGACUGGAAAAGGAGAUGAGUCUCCAGGUGCCCACGGCCUUCUGCUGACAUCAAGAGCCCACAGAGAGGACAGCUUGGAUCCCUGGAAGACCCCAAACACCAGGGCCUCUGGGGGUGGGAGGAGGUACAGCCUGAGUCAUGCGAGAGAAGAACUGCUGCUGUGCUCCACCUAUCUCAGUUAUGUUCCAUCCCCUGCCCCGCUCGCUCUAGCAGGGGAGCAGGCAGCAAACGAUGAGUCAGGCAUUGUCCAGAGAGCCUCCAGGGGACAGACAUCAUGCUAUCAUCUUUCCUUGGCUAUCUCCUCAACAACUGCAUCCUACAGCUGGCCUGGCAGCCCCUCCUCCUGUUUUGUUUGCUUCCUCCUGGCUGCAGACUGCUGUCGCUGCCAGGGAAAGUGCCGACGGUGCCUCUCAGUCUAUUCCACCUAAAUUUAAACCACUAUUUUUAUCUUUCCAGGCUCAUUGUGGUUUAAAUUUGGUAUUAAAAAGUCACGUGAGGAAAGCUGUUGUCUGAUGUUUGGUGCCUUGGUGAUGAGGACCUCAUCAGCCUUGCCAUUGAGUGUCCUGAGCAUGAGGGAUGGGGUUGUGUUUCCUACAGACAUUCCCCAAAGGAGCAGGGAGGAGGCAGGAGCAGGAUGGGAUGUCCCAUUUCUCUUCCCAGCUGAGUGUUUCCAGUCAAGAGGCUCCUUCAGCAGCAUGUCAACACAGAGAUAACAGAGGUGGGCACAUUUCAGGAAGCGGUUCCCAGAAGUGGGUUGACAUUUCUCACUGGUGUGACCUGGUGACUGCAGGAGAAGGAAAAGCAAAGCCAGAGGUCAAAUACAGGAGGAAAUGAUCCCUUGCUGAAAUUAUUGAACUUGUGUGGAUGAAAAGACAUUGAACAUGUCUUUGGGUGUGAGUCAGAGCUUUUCCCUUCAUGGUGCCGAGGGGAGCACUGGGCUGUGGGGUUCCUGCUGUCCCUGGGGUGCCAGGGAUGCUGGAAUCUGGGCUGAGUGGGGUGAGGACUUUGGUGUCUCCUCACCAAAAGAAGGGCAGUGCUUGGGAUGGGAUGGUCGAGCAGCCCCACUGAAAUCACCCCACAGGCUGUCUGUGAAGGGCUCAGCUGGCCCCAAAAAGAGUGGUGGUGUCCAUGAGGCUUCCCAUUGUUCUGGAUAGACGGUGCCCACCCCUGCCAGGUGAAGCCAAUUCUCCUUGACUCCAGAAGGGAGGGAGCUGAAGGAUGACUGUGCAAUUCCAAAUGCUGACCAAACUCCCCCAGUGGCCUCUACCACCCUACCCCAGUGACAGUGCUGCGUGGUCCUCCCUUCAGGUGAGUAGCUCAGGGGAGUUUCUUCUCUAAAGAACAGCAGCUCCUGUCACUCUCCUUUUGCUCAGGGUGUGGGGAAAUUUUAAAAUGCCACUUCCAAGGGAAAACAGGCAGCUUGCUCCAUGAGCUGGCAGCUUGUGAAAUGAUUGAUUCUGGGAGAGCUUCAGGGGGCCAUCACUGACCACAUCCUUUUUACACUGGGGUGUAUCUCCCCUUACAGCUCUGGGCUGGCUUGUCAAAGAGAGCUGGAGUGGGGUCUCUGUGCAGCCAGCCACUAUGGAUCCAGCUGGUGGGAUCUCAGCUGCGCCUCUUGCUCUGGAAUUCAAACCUUGUGACAAAUCCUUCGUCUGACUGUCAGCUGUCAGAUACAGAGGAGGAACACAAUGUUCCUGACUCAAAACCAGUCAUUUCUAAGCUUCUCCAAACAGAAAGUUUCCAGCAUGUUUUGUCCAACGGGCACUGCAGUUUUCCAUCCUGCCCUGGAUGGAAAUGCCCGCCUUCUCCUCUGGGAAUGACGCCCAGGAUGGAGCCAGAGCUGCCAGCACCAAGAGGGAAGCCUACAAGCAUCCAAAGUUUGUGGUUUUACUGUCCUCAGAAUGGCUUCAGGAGGGAUCAGAUCAGAGCUGUGAUCUUUGCACAGUGCUUGGACCAGCUCCUGCCAUGUAAUGGGGUAAGAGCCAUUAAAGCUUUUGGAUAUUUUUCUUUUUUCAGUUUAAUUUCCAUUCAGUGGUGGCUGCCAGAGCACUCUGAGGUCUUUUAAAGGAGGCAAAACAGCUAAAGAGAAUAAUUUCCAAGUUUAAGGGCCACAGAAGCUGUGGCUGCCCCAUCCCUGCAAGGCCAGGUUGAGCAGAUCUUGGAGCAACCUGGGAUAGUGGGAGGUGUCCCUGCCCAUGGCAGGGGUGGCAUUGGGUGGGCUUUAAAGCCCCUCCCCAGCCAGACCAUGCUGUGAUUCCAUGAUCCACCCAACAAGGAUCAGCUCUUGGAGGAAGUGAAGGUUUCCAGUGGGAUGUGACCAGAGUGGGCACUUGGGUGCCCCGUGUCCUGAGCCACAGAGACCAUCCCACCCUCCUGGCCCUUCCUGGGCUGUCUGUGGGGACUCUGUGCUCACGUCAGUCCCUCGUGUGCCAGAGAGCAGAGACUCCUCACCCACAGUGAAUUAGAGGGUGUCACACGGUGACACAUCUCACACAGAGAGGUGUCACACGGUGACACAUCUCACACAGAGAGGUGUCACCUGCCAGGCCUUCCCGAGGGAAGAAGGAGGCUGACACCUGAGCUCUCUGUCCUUUCCUGGCAUGGCCAGUGCAGCUGGAUCACACGGGCUGGGAGCAGGUGAUGCUGAGGUGUCACCACCUCCUUGCCUGGGCUGGGAUGAGCCCCUUGCUGAGGGGUGUCCCCCUGGAUAGGAUCCUCCUCGAGCUGCUCAGGGCCUGAUGCAGUCCCACGUCUCACAGCCCUGCAGACCUGCAGGGAUUUAGGGCACUCCUACAAGCAGCAGCAGGAUUUGGUGCUGCUGGAUGCACCAGCUUUGCCCUGCAACCCGUUUUGAGGCAGGGAAGAGCCUGGAAAAGUCUGUCUCUCCAGGGUGUGAGUCCAUGGAGGUGUGGAGGUUAGGGAAUUUUACAUAAAUAUUUGACUCUACCUUUUCAGGCAGCAGAAUCCUCGCUUAGGGGCACUCAUCCUGAAAUAUUUACCAACUGUGCAGUUUAUUGGCAGUGGGCAGAAGCAAUUUAGAUUGUCUCAUCGUGAUCACUUGAAGCAAUCUCAAGGAAGUGUAAUCCUGCUUUGAAUGGCCGUGUCAGAUCCUUGUCUGCCUGCUUUAAUUGCUUUUCCUACAGGAUACUGAUGCUUCAGAUUGCAAAUCCUCCCAGGCAAAGGCUGUCUCUUUGUUCUGGUGUGCAGAACACAUCCUGCAGGGAAGGCCGGGGCUCUGGCUUGGCUACAGACAUCUGGCUGCUUGAAACGCUGUGCUCAGAGAGUGCCAGGAGGGUGUGAGGGCUGGGGGGUCCUGUGGGGGCCGGGUGACCCCUGGAAUUCUCAGCACGCACACGGCAGCGAGGGAUGCGCGUCACCAUCCGUCCUUCCCUCGUGGAUGGCACAACACAGGUGGGCAGGGAGUGGCAUAAAUUAUCUGAAUUCCAGUCUCCCUCCUUCAGCCAGCCAGAAGAGUUUCUCCUCUGGAAUGUCCUGAGCUAAAGGCCCCACAGGUGACACCUUGGGGAUGGCAUCUCCAAAAGAUUUUGGGGAGAAAGGAGAGGUGGGAAAGGUGUCAUGGAGAAUGGAGAGUUGGCUCUCCCACCAAAGUAAUCCACCCCUCAGGCCAUCUCCAGUUUAACUGAAGAGCUUCUGGUAUUAUUCAUAUUAAUAUGCACAUUAAUAUUCAUCAUUAUAUUCAUAUUUAUAUUAAUGUUAUAAGCAUUUAACUGAAGAGCCUCAUGGGAUUGUCUUUACUGAUGGUGAAACUCAAGUGGCCUCAGAAUAAACAGGAGUUACUUGAAACAGAAAA